CAUGUGUAGCGGUGAAAUGCGUAGAUAUAUGGAGGAACACCAGUGGCGAAAGCGGCUCUCUGGUCUGUCACUGACGCUGAGGCUCGAAAGCGUGGGUAGCGAACAGGAUUAGAUACCCUGGUAGUCCACGCCGUAAACGAUGAGUGCUAGGUGUUAGGCCCUUUCCGGGGCUUAGUGCCGGAGCUAACGCAAUAAGCACUCCGCCUGGGGAGUACGACCGCAAGGUUGAAACUCAAAGGAAUUGACGGGGGCCCGCACAAGCGGUGGAGCAUGUGGUUUAAUUCGAAGCAACGCGAAGAACCUUACCAGGUCUUGACAUCCCGAUGCUAUUCUUAGAGAUAGGAAGUUACUUCGGUACAUCGGAGACAGGUGGUGCAUGGUUGUCGUCAGCUCGUGUCGUGAGAUGUUGGGUUAAGUCCCGCAACGAGCGCAACCCUUAUUGUUAGUUGCCAUCAUUAAGUUGGGCACUCUAGCGAGACUGCCGGUAAUAAACCGGGGGAAGGUGGGGAUGACGUCAAAUCAUCAUGCCCCUUAUGACCUGGGCUACACACGUGCUACAAUGGUCGGUACAACGAGUUGCGAGCCGGUGACGGCAAGCUAAUCUCUGAAAGCCGAUCUCAGUUCGGAUUGGAGGCUGCAACUCGCCUCCAUGAAGUCGGGAUCGCUAGUAAUCGCGGAUCAGCACGCCGCGGUGAAUACGUUCCCGGGCCUUGUACACACCGCCCGUCACACCACGAGAGUUUGUAACACCCGAAGUCG
rnacentral:rRNA from 1 species